UAUUGGCUUGGUUUUGGUUAUGAUAUAAAUUAUUAUUAAAUUAAUACAUGUUAAGUUUAAAAUUAUAUUGUUUUACUUGAAUAUUAAUUUUUAUUUGAUUUAGUUUAAUAUUUAUUAAAUAAAAAUUAUUGUUAUGUUAAUAUUUUAUUAAUAUAAUUUUUAUAAAAGUUACGCAGUAUUUAUAUUUAUACAAUGAAUGGAAAUUUGAUAUAGUUAAUGUAAUUUAUGUAAAGUGGUUAAAUUGGUGCCAGCCGCUGCGGUUAUACCAAUACUUAAAAUUUAUAUUAAUACAGUAUAAAAUAAAGUAAUUAUAUAAAAUAUAAAUAGAGUAGGUGAGAUUAAUAAUUGUAAGUAAAAUUUAAUUAUUAAUAUUAUUUUUAUUUCUCUAUUGAAUAUAUUCUUUGAAAAUAAGAAAAAAAACUAGGAUUAGAGACCCUAUUAUUCUUUAUUUUAAAAUUUAUUCUAACUGAAGAAGUACAAAUAUAUUUUUAGUUGUUUAUAAAAUAGUAUACAUAUAUUUGAAAUUUAAAAGACUUGGCGGUGUUACAUAUCCUUUCAGGGGAGCUUGUUUAUUAAUUUGAUAAUCCUCAAUUUAUACUUACUUUUUUUUGAAUAUUAUACAGUUUGUAUAUUGCUGUCGUCAGUUUAUUUUGUGAAAUUUUAAAAACAUGAUAAUAAAUAAUUGUAAUGAUAAGUCAAAAUGCAGCUUAUAAAAAAGGUUUAUUAAGUGAGCUACAAUUUAUAAUUUUUAAAUACGAAUUGAAUUAUGUAAUAUAAUUUUUGAAGUUGGACUUGAUAGUAAUAAAAUAAAUAGUGUGUUAUUAUGAAUUAUGGUUUUGUAAUGCGUACAUAUCGCCCGUCGCUCUUACUGGAAGAUAAGAUAAGUCGUAACAUAGUAGGGGUAGUGGAAACUGUUCCUGGUAUAAA
rnacentral:ncRNA from 1 species